CCCUUAGAUGUUCUGGGCCGCACGCGCGCUACACUGACGAAGUCAGCGAGCAUCUCCUACGCCGAAAGGUGCGGGGAAUCUUGUGAAACUUUGUCGUGCUGGGGAUUGAUUUUUGAAAUUCUUGAUCAUCAACGAGGAAUUCCUAGUAAGCGCAUGUCAGCAGCUUGCGUUGAUUACGUCCCUGCCCUUUGUACACACCGCCCGUCGCUACUACCGAUUGAAUGGUUUAGUGAGAUUUUUGGACUGGAACUCUCUUGUUCAGCAAUGAACGAGAGGGACUCUGGGAAGCUAUUCUAACUGUAUCAUUUAGAGGAAGUAAAAGUCGUAACA
rnacentral:rRNA from 1 species